CACGCCGUAAACGAUGAGAACUUGACGUCGGGUUGCUUACGCGACUCGGUGUCGUAGCUAACGCGAUAAGUUCUCCGCCUGGGGAGUACGGCCGCAAGGUUGAAACUCAAAGGAAUUGACGGGGGCCCGCACAAGCGGUGGAGUAUGUGGUUUAAUUCGAUGCAACGCGAAGAACCUUACCUGGUCUUGACAUGUCAGAAAUCUCUCAGAAAUGAGGGAGUGCCUUCGGGAAUCUGAACACAG
rnacentral:rRNA from 1 species